rnacentral:rRNA from 1 species
UACGAAGAGUGCAAGCGUUACUCGGAAUUACUGGGCGUAAAGCGUGCGUAGGUGGUUUGUUAAGUCUGUUGUGAAAGCCCCGGGCUCAACCUGGGAAUGGCAAUGGAUACUGGCAGGCUAGAGUGCGGUAGAGGGUAGUGGAAUUCUCGGUGUAGCAGUGAAAUGCGUAGAUAUCGAGAGGAACACCAGUGGCGAAGGCGAGUCCCUGGACAACUUCUGACGCUGAGGCACGAAAGCUAGGGGAGCAAACAGG